GGGUGGAACAGAAAUGCCCAAGAAAUGAGAAUAUCGCUAGGAUAAGCUCUUAACCUGGCUCUGAUACCAUGUUACAAGAGAAGAAAGGAUGAAAUAUUGUAUUUCUUAUUCAAAUGAUAAGGAGAGAGUACAAUUGAUAUAUAUAAUUGUUCAGAACAAAAUAAAAAAGGAAUAUAAGUAUAAAAACAGAAUAUAAAUAUAUGAACAUAAAUGCACAAAUAUGAACAGAGAAUAAAAUAAUUCCAAUAUCCCCCUCAAGCUGCA
rnacentral:lncRNA from 1 species